ensembl:snRNA U4 U4 spliceosomal RNA
AGCUUUGUGCAGUGGCAGUAUCGUAGCCAAUGAGGUUUAUCUGAGGCGCGAUUAUUGCUAAUUGAAAACUUUUUUUAAAUUUUAUUUUAGUCACCAUACAUUACAUCAUCAGUUCUUGAUGCAGUGUUCCAUGAUUCAUU